CAAUAGCGUAUAUUAAAGUUGUUGCAGUUAAAAAGCUCGUAGUUGGAUUUCUGGUUGAAGCGACCGGUCGGGCGUUGAUUCGUCUGCACUGGAGUCGGUUUUGGCCAUCCUCUAGGAAAGUGCGUCUGGUAUUAAGUUAUCGGGCGUAUGAUCCUGGUCUUUUACUGUGAAAAAAUUAGAGUGUUUAAAGCAGGCCUUCGCCUUGAAUACAUUAGCAUGGAAUAAUAAGAUAGGACUUUGGUCUAUUUUGUUGGUUUGCAGACCGAAGUAAUGAUUAAUAGGGAUAGUUGGGGGUAUUUAUAUUCCGAUGUCAGAGGUGGAAUUCUUAGAUUUUCGGAAGAUAAACUUAUGCGAAAGCAUUUACCAAGGAUGUUUNCAUUA
rnacentral:rRNA from 1 species